AUUGAACGCUGGCGGUAUGCCUUACACAUGCAAGUCGAACGGUAGAGGGGCAACCCUUGAGAGUGGCGAACGGGUGAGUAAUACAUCGGAACGUGCCCAGUCGUGGGGGAUAACGUAGCGAAAGCUACGCUAAUACCGCAUACGACCUGAGGGUGAAAGCGGGGGAUCGCAAGACCUCGCGCGAUUGGAGCGGCCGAUGGCAGAUUAGGUAGUUGGUGGGGUAAAGGCCUACCAAGCCUGCGAUCUGUAGCUGGUCUGAGAGGACGACCAGCCACACUGGGACUGAGACACGGCCCAGACUCCUACGGGAGGCAGCAGUGGGGAAUUUUGGACAAUGGGCGAAAGCCUGAUCCAGCCAUACCGCGUGCGGGAAGAAGGCCUUCGGGUUGUAAACCGCUUUUGUCAGGGAAGAAAUCUUCUGGGUUAAUACCUCGGGAGGAUGACGGUACCUGAAGAAUAAGCACCGGCUAACUACGUGCCAGCCGCCGCGGUAA
rnacentral:rRNA from 1 species